AACGAACGCUGGCGGCAGGCCUAACACAUGCAAGUCGAGCGAGGACUUCGGUCCUAGCGGCGGACGGGGGAGUAACGCGUGGGAACGUGCCCUUUGCUUCGGAAUAGCCCUGGGAAACUGGGAGUAAUACCGGAUGAGCCCUUUGGGGGAAAGAUUUAUCGUCGAAGGAUCGGCCCGCGUUGGAUUAGGUAGUUGGUGGGGUAAUGGCCUACCAAGCCGACGAUCCAUAGCUGGGUUGAGAGGAUGAGCAGCCACACUGGGACUGAGACACGGCCCAGACUCCUACGGGAGGCAGCAGUGGGGAAUCUUAGACAAUGGGGGAAACCCUGAUCGAGCCAUGCCGCGUGAGCGAUGAAGGCCUUAGGGUUGUAAAGCUCUUUCAGCUGGGAAGAUAAUGACGGUACCAGCAGAAGAAGCCCCGGCUAACUCCGUG
rnacentral:rRNA from 1 species